rnacentral:lncRNA from 1 species
UGGACCCCGAAAACCAAACACGAACAUCAUCCACCACCGGACCGCAUAAUGAGCUCAUGUCGUCUGUUCGGGUAUUGUAAUACACGCUGUAGAAUGCGAUUCGUGUUCUCUCGGCUUUGGCCGUGAAGUUGACACUAGCGACUUGGAAGGUAGAGUUGGAGUCCGGAGUGUAGUGAAAAUUUCGUGCUUGGUCUCCAGCAAAGGCCAUGACAGCUAGUGGUUCCUUGCAUUUGUCCCUAGCGUGGCCCAAUGAAAAGGUCAAGCUGUAUAGCUUGUUUGGUGUGGUUUCGACCAUUUGUGAAAUGAUGCCUUCCUUGCCCGAGACUAACUCCACGGCACGUUUGCCUUCUGGGACUGCAUAGUGAUUGGAAUCAAUGUAUCGAACCGCUCGGUUCGAUUCGACCAUC